GGCAAGAGUAGAAGCGUUCAGCGCUGCAGCGUCUGCCCACCAGGGUGCGGAGGCUGUAGGCGGGUCAUUGCUCUUGAA
ncrna:unclassified sequences NMT1 RNA